rnacentral:rRNA from 1 species
AUUGAACGCUGGCGGCAGGCCUAACACAUGCAAGUCGAACGAGCGGCGGACGGGUGAGUAAUGUCUGGGAAUCUGCCCGAUGGAGGGGGAUAACUACUGGAAACGGUAGCUAAUACCGCAUACCAUCAGAUGUACCCAUAUGGGAUUAGCUAGUUGGUGGGGUAACGGCUCACCUAGGCGACGAUCGCUAGCUGGUCUGAGAGGAUGACCAGCCACACAGGGACUGAGACACGGCCCAGACGCCUACGGGAGGCAGCAGUGGGGAAUAUUGCACAAUGGGCGCAAGCCUGAUGCAGCCAUGCCGCGUGUAUGAAGAAGGCCUUAGGGUUGUAAAGGACUUUCAGCGGGGAGGCGUUACCCGCAGAAGAAGCACCGGCUAACUCCGUGCCAGCAGCCGCGGUAAUAC